rnacentral:rRNA from 1 species
CAGCCGCCACGGUAACACAGAGGAUGCAAGCGUUAUCCGGAAUUACUGGGCGUAAAGCGUGCGUAGGCGGUUUCUUAAGUCUGCUGUGAAAUCCCCGGGCUCAACCUGGGAAUGGCAGUGGAUACUGGGAAGCUAGAGUGUGUCAGAGGAUGGUGGAAUUCCCGGUGUAGCGGUGAAAUGCGUAGAGAUGUGGAGGAACACCGAUGGCGAAGGCAGCCCCCUGGGCCAAUACUGACGCUCAUGCACGAAAGCGUGGGGAGCAAACAGGAUUAGAUACCCCUGUAGUCCCUGUCUCUUAUAC